CUGGAUUUACCACGCAAAAGACCAGACAUCCCGUUCGAGGGAAAGCCGAUGACAUCAUGUCCUUGGGAUACCGCAGGUACAAACAAUUCGGUCUCCAGGAAGUUCAUCUCACUCGCAUCAAAAUCCGUCGGACAGAUUGGUUAUUCUGUGGGCAUUCCCCGGAGCGGCUGCUGUUGCACUUGAUGCUGAUGAGUGACGCUCAUAUCCGGAUACCGGGGCUUCCAAUCAAGAGCGGUGCACGGGGCUCAUCCUAAGAGGAUUGGAAAUCUAAUAAACUUAAGUGCUGCUUCUGA